GAUCAUCUACCCCGGGACCGGGAUAGCACGGGAACUGUGGGUAUACCGGAUACGUCUCCGGACCAAUGUGCGAUUCCGCCCGGGGAUGAGUCACGCCCUACUAGCUUGUUGGUGGGGUAUGGCCUACCAAGCAACGAUGGGUACCGGGCGUGAGAGCGUGAUCCGGCUCACUGGGACUGAGACACUGCCCAGACACCUACGGGUGGCUGCAGUCGAGAAUCUUCGGCAAUGGACGAAAGUCUGACCGAGCGACGCCGUGUGUGUGAUGAAGGCCUUCGGGUUGUAAAACACUGUCAGUUGUGAGGAAAUCUCAGGGGGCUAUCCCUCUGAGUUGACCUAGCUUCAGAGGAAGGACGGGCUAAGUUCGUGCCAGCAGCCGCGGUAAGACGAACCGUCCAAACGUUAUUCGGAAUCACUGGGCUUAAAGGGUGCGUAGGCGGCAUAUCAAGUGGGGUGUGAAAUACCUCGGCUCAACCGAGGAACUGCGCUCCAAACUGAUAUGCUUGAGGAAGGCAGAGGUAAGCGGAACUUGCGGUGGAGCGGUGAAAUGCUUUGAUAUCCGCAAGGAACACCAGUGGCGAAGGCGGCUUACUGGGCCUUUUCUGACGCUCAGGCACGAAAGCUAGGGGAGCGAACGGGAUUAGAUACCCCGGUAGUCCUAGCUGUAAAC
rnacentral:rRNA from 1 species